rnacentral:pre_miRNA from 16 species
AAGAGUAUGCAGAAGAUGCUGUGUUCUGUAUGGAAGACUAGUGAUUUUGUUGUUGUGUGUCUUGCAAACAACAGUAAAUCACAGUCUUCCUUACGGUGCAUCGGCAAAGUCAACUAACUACAU